ensembl:lncRNA
GGAAGCAGAAAAAAUUUAAAGGUUCAUGUAUAUGGUAGAUAAGGCUUACUUAUCCACUGAAGUUAUUCUAAGUGAAUAAAAUAAUCUUAUCUCUUUCAUCUUCUAAAUAAGUUGUUGAAAAUGCAUUUUCUUUUGACAUUAUACUAAUAUAAUGAAAUGCUUAGAGUUAUACAAGUAGUGGAUUUUGACUAUUAAGGUUGUGGAACUUGUCAAACUUGGUCAAAACUUAUUGUUUUAGCUCCAGACUAUCUCAGAAGAAAACUUAUAGCUGAACAAAGCCAUGUCUGCUAGGGAAAUUUGCUGUUUAAAUUUUUUCCAGGAAAGAAAGAGUCCUAAGCAAUUUUGACAUGAUCAUAAGAGCUGUCUGGUGACCUGAUGUUGUGGAAAAUUAUAGAAUAUCUAGUAGUGCAAAAUAUGAUGGUGUUGGAGGGAUCUCAGAUCAGUAUGGUAUAAGCCAUAUGUGCUGCAAUAAGGAGAUACGGGGGAACAAGUUAUGCGUGGAGUGUCAGUUUGCCGUCCCCUUCCCCAAAAUCGCCCCUUGCCCUUGUUUCGGUGAAUAGAAGAGAAGCACUUUUGGAGUACAUACCUCCUGUAUGAUCUGGUGCACUAGAAUUUCAGUUGCUUUGGUUAUAGUACUGGAUAACUUAAAAUCUCUCCAGAAAAUAGAAUAAAGCCAAUCCCUCUGGGGAGUUAGCAUGUGAUUGAAUUACCUGGCUAAACAUGUUUAGCUGAAUUAUUAAUUUUCUGCCUUGUUAAGUACUGUCUUAUUAAGUACUGGAAGUGAAAAUGCAUGCAAUGUAAAAAUAUGCUGGAAAACAGUUGUAAAACCAUCAUUAGGUCACAGUAUUUGCAUGACUUCUUGUGAGACAGAGUGACAUGUAUCUUGAAACAGGAUCAGCUGUCAUUUUCACAGGUUUAUCCAAAUAGUUUAUAUUAUUGAUUAUAUAUUCUAAAAGUUUAGGUGACAGAAGGUUCAUAUAAGUUAUAUCUAAAAAAUGCAAGAAGGAUCAGAGGAAGUUGAGCCUAGUGUCUUGGAGAAAUUACUCUAUAUUAUCACGGAUGGUUAGGCAGAGAGAAAUCUUUUCAUAUGUAAAAAAUUUAGCAG